UUUUUUUUUUUUUUUUUUUUUUGAGACAGAUUCUUGUUCUGUCUCUUAGGCUGGAGUGCAGUGGCGUGGUCUCGGCUAACUGCAAGCUCCGCCUCCCAGGUUCACGCCGUUCUCCUAUUUCAGUCUUUCCGGUAGCUGGGACUACAGGCGCCCACCACAAUGCCUGGCUAAUUUGCGCCAUCUUUAAGAGCUGUAACACUCACCGCUAAGGUCUGCAGCUUCACUCCUGAAGCCAGCCAGACUACGAACCCUUACUACGAACCCAUCAGCUGGAAGGAACAAUUCCAGACAAUUCCACACAGGAGGAAGCAACAACUCUGGAUGUGCCACCUUUAGGAACUGUACCACUCACGGGAAGGUCUGCAGCUUCACUCCUGAAGUGAGCAAGACUACGAACCUACCGGGAGGAAGGAACAAAUUACGGACACACCAUUCUUUAAGAACUGUAACAAACCCGCGAGGGUCCGCAGCUUCAUUCUUGAAGUCAGCGAGACCAAGAACCCACUAAUUCCAUACGCAAUGGGUUCAUUUCUUUUUUUUUUUUUUUUACAAAAGUCUUCUCUGUGCUGACUUAAGGGGACACUUUGUGUCACUUCCAGGGAAGGAUGCGCUGGGGUCCCGACAUUCUGUCAGGGUCCAAACACCCUCGUUCCUCAUCCAGGGCAUGGAGCACCUGAGUAGGAUGGAACAUUUGGGAAAAACCCCACCUCAGUCCCAGGCCCGGCAGCCUGAGGAGAUCUAAGGCUGGCUGGGCAUUCGAGCUGUAAGAGCAGGGAGUGUUUACUGCACCCAGGAGAGGUGAUCAGGACACAAUUUCACUAUUUCUGGUUGUUUUAGAAUCAGGUUCCUUUGUCUCCUUAUUUUACCUCAGUUACAUUUUCCAAGAUCCUAGGACUCACAGAAGGAUGCAGUCGGUGGGGGCAGAGUGCUGUACCAGGGCCUCCAGACAUGGUUUCUAGACACUGGCUCAUGUGAUGGCACCAGGGCCCCCAGCCAUGGUUUCUAGACAUUUGGUCAUACCAUGGCCUUGGUUGAUGACCCCAUCCAUCGGAUUUCAUCCUCCUCAAAACGAAACAGAAGGUUUAGCCCAGCAGAUCUCUGGAGUCUGUGAUUUUCAGAUGAGAGCCCAAUUGAUGGUGAAGCAUAACAAGAGUACGGUUGAUUUCAUUCCUUCAGCAUUCACUUAUUCCAUGUGUGUGUAAAGCCUGAUCUGUGUUGGAGAGCUCAGCAUGCAGACAUGACGUGAUGGAGCUGUGGCUCUACAGUUACCCCUCACCAUAGUAAACAGAUGCACAAUUACUUUUGAUUAUGUUCGUGUAAUAAAGGUAGUUAAAGUUCAACAUUUAUCAGAAAAACAUAUGAGCUCUGACAGUUCAUAAUUUGACAUCAUUUAGAACCAUGGCCAUAAAAGAGUCUGCAGGCACAAAGCCCGUGUCAAAAGAAGAAGGAAAGUGAUCAGGUGUCUCUUACUACAGGUCCUUUGCUUAUGACUUCCAGAGAUUCAGUAUAAUUGUGCAUCAGAUAAACGGGCUAGAAUAAAGACUCAUAACUUCUUUGUCACA
rnacentral:lncRNA from 10 species